rnacentral:lncRNA from 1 species
ACUGCCUAAUGAUUACUAAAGUAACGCGACAACAAAAAUCUCAACUUACAUUUUCUUUCCAUUCAAAGAUCAAAAAAACACAAUAGAUAUUUUCGUAUUUGUAAGAAGAAAAAGAAAUUAAUUACCUCGAACGAAGAGAUGCUGAAAGGAUAGAGAGAGAAUCAGAAAAUGGUGGAAAGGGAUUCAACUUUGCCUUUUCGAUGACGACCGAUUCUCUCUCUCUCACU